GAAAAAAUAUAUAUGAAAGUGAUACUUUAAACUCCAAAGCACCAAGCAAUAUAAGAUAUUGUUGGUAAUUAAUUUUAUGACAUUUUAAGAUAAAGUGGUAGAAGAUAAUAUAUGAAUAAUAUCUAACUUCAUUAGCUUUGGCAUUACUUUUCUUGAUAAGUUGAGACUAUUUUACAAAUUAAUGGUGCCAGGGAUUUAGCUCAGUGGCACUGAGCCUGCCUCCCAAGCACAAGGUCCUGAGUUCAAUCCCCGGUAUGGAAAAAAAAAAAAUUAAUGGAAGCCAGGAGUGGUGGUGCAGGCUUGUAAUCCCAGCACUUGGGAAGCUGAGGCAGAAGGAUUGCUAUGAGUUCAAGGCCAGCCUGAAUUACAGAGCGACCCCAUCUCCCAAAAACCCCAAAAUGAAUGGAUCAUGACAUAGCAGAUACUUUUAUUUGUUACAAGUGGCUCUAGGCAGUAAUUCUGAUCUUCGUUCCAGGCUGCCACACCCACUCCACCUCUAAUUGCACCUCCUCCUGCUACUUCAUUUGGCUUCCUUCCUCUUGCCAUCUCCUCUCAACCACUGACACCCUUCACAUCUGCUCCACCAGUGACCCACCACAAAGCCCUGCGUGACCAGUGAUACGUAGCUAUUUUACCUAUGGCCAUUGACACUGACGUGAAAUAGCCUACUAGGCAGUGUGUUCGACCCUCCUGGGUUCCAGUUCACUCACUAAGAGCACCACCUCACACUCAGCAUAUGCUCUUCUGUAUUUUAGAGGAAAUAGAAGUCAUUAGGCCUGCCCUCCCUCAGACUUCUACUUUGUAACUUAGCUUCAUCCCCUAUACUUAAUUUCUUCCUGCUUAUUUCAAGAAGUGUCCUCUACUUCUGUAAGUGCAGAUUUGGUUUGGGUUACUUUUAUUAUCAAAAUAAUCAGCUCUUCAUUGCUUUGAGAAUAAAGUCUAGGCCCUGUAGCAUAGCAGGAAUAAUUCUUCACAGUUUGGUCCUUCCAUUUCCAUGCUCCCACACUGAUUCAUUGUUCAGCCUUAACAGAUUUGCAUGCUGAUCUUCAACCAGCUAUAGCUAUUCAUUUUGCCUUUGCCAGAAAGAGUCUCUCCAUUUUGCAAGAUCCCACUCAAAAAAUCUCCUCUUUGUGAAGAGACACCAGAACUUGUAAAUUAGAAUGAUUCCUUUCUCUCAUCCACUCAUAGGGUUCUUAUAAAACUGAGUGAUAGUUUUCUGUAUGAAUGUUCUAAUUGUCACUGUUUCCUAAAGGCAGUUUUCACUGACUCGUCCUAUGUAUGGAAGAUGCAAGAAAAACUUUUCCAUAUGUAUUUGUAUCCCCUGACUUCCAGAGUUGUUGGGAUUUGUUUUUCUUAAAACAUAACUCCCCUCCAUUUCUAGUCUCUCUUCUUCCACAAAGGCUCUAACUUUUCUUUGCAGUUCUACCCCUUCCCCAUGCAAUUCAGGUGAGGUGGACUCCCAACCCUAAGUUCUCUGGCCUGGCAAAGGAGUCACCAUGUACCAUCCCUCUGGCCGCAGGCAUUGAAAGCUAAACCAAACUUGAUGACAAGACUGGUUUAACCUUUCAGGGAUGUAGCAUCUGAGCACCUGAAAUCUGGGAGUGGAAAGAGUGAAAAGCUGCUCUUUGUCCUUGUUGACUCUCAAAUCAAGGUACCAUGGGGCUUCCCCUAGGCCAUUUUGUUACAUGACCCCCAAGGAUUUUCUUUGCAACAGAAAGGAUCCUAAGUGAUGGUGGUUAUUCUCUAUGUAGGUGACCCACACUGAAUGGGUAUCACUAGAUACAGCACCCCGUCUACACACUACUCAAACUAGAGUAUUUUUUUAACUUCUAAACCUCCUAAGCUACCUGAAAUACCUAAAACAGGGAUAUCUUUUCCCUUUGGCCCUUUGCCCAUAUGGCUCCCUCUGCUUAGGAUGCUUUCUCUUCUCUCUUUGACUCUAAUCUGUACCUCAAAACCCAACUCAGGUGUUCAUUAUCAGGGAAGACUGCUCCUCUUGUGAAUCCUCCUCAAACCCUAAUAUACGUAUAUUGUAUCAUAGUCAUAUGUUAGUUUUUCUUUUCCACUAGAAUGUGACUUUUUCAGGGCAAAAGUAGUUUCUUUUUCAGCUUUAUAUCUUCAGGACCUAGCAUACUGUUAUCCCUGUACUAGACUUGAUAAUUAUUUAUUGAAUGAACUAGUGAAGUCAUGUAAUCUAAUUCACUCAUUUUACUGAUGAAGAAACUUGCCUGUUCAGAGUAAUGGCUUACCUGUCCAGUGUCACACAACUAUUUUGCCCACCACGUUAAUUUGAGAACUUGAAGAUAGAUGUCCAAAAGAUGAGAGAAAAAAUGCAAAUGCUUUACUGAAUUUUUUAUUUAAGCCAUCUCUAUUAUGGUAUAAUUUAUGUACAAUAAAAUUAUAUAAAUUUCUUUGUAAAAUAAAAUCCUUUCUAAGUAUACAGUUAUAUAGGGCUUGACAAAAGUACAUACACAUGUCACCACCACAAUCAAGGCCAGACCAUUUCUAUCACCCAGCAGUUCCCUUUACACCCCUUCCCCUUCAAUUCCCCAGAUGCACACUCACUCCAGACACCCACUGAUCUGCUUCUAGCCCUAAAGAUUAGAUUUCUCACUUCUAGAGUUUCUUCUUAUGCACUCUUACUCAGCGUAAUGUUUUGAGAUUCGCCCAUGUUGUUGUGUGAUCAAUAGUUCAUUCCUUUUUAUUGCUGAAUAUAAGCCUUAAUAUGGACAUAUCCCUUUAUUUCUCUGGGGAAAAUACCUAGGAGUACAAUUUCUAGGUCCUGUGUAGCCAUGUGUUUCACUUUUUAAGAAGUCUCUACAUUCUUUCCCAAAGUGGUUCGACCAUUUUACAGUCCCACUGGCAAUAUAUGCAUCCCAUUUACUCCAAAUUCUUACCAACACUUGGUGUUAUCAUGUUAAUAAUUCUAAUAGGAGGUUAUAAUUUGUAUUUUCCUAAUUACUAAUAAUGUUGAACAUCUUUUAUGCUUAUUUGCCUUUUUACAUACAUUAUUUUGUAAAGUGUCCAUUCAAAUCUUCUGCCCAUUUUAAUCAAUUAUCUUAUUAAGUGGUAAGAAUUCUUUAUUCUGGAUAUGCUACAUGGUUCCCAAAAUUAUCUUCCAGCCUAUAGGUUGCCUCUUAAUUUUAUUAACUGUCUUGUAAAGAACAGAAGUGCUAAUUUUGUUGAAUUCCAAUUUAUUCAGUUUUUCUUUUAUAGUUUAUAUUUUUAUGUGCUACCUAUGAAAUCUUUGCAUAAUUCAAGGUUACAGAGAUAUUUUUCCUGCAUAUUUUAAAAACUUUAUGGAUUAAACUUAUACAAUUAGGUCUAUCAUGACUUUUUUAAAGUUAAUUUUUGUGUAUGGCGCAAGUUAAGAGCUGAGCAUCCUGUUUUUGCAUUUGGAUAUACAUCAUUUCCUGAAAUAAGUAUCCUCUCACUUUUAGAUCAGCACCUUUGUAUUUUGCUGUAGAGGUUUAUGUUUGUCCUUACUACAUUAUAACACUGACUUGAUUUUUGUAGGUUUUAAAAAAAAUUUUAUUUUAUUGGUACAUUUUAGAUGUACAAUAUAAUGGCAUUCAUCAUUGGAAAUUUGUACCUUUACAUAGUCUCUCUUGGUUCUUAUUUUUUUCCCAUUCCCCUGCCCUCCCUUCAACCCCUCCACCUCUACCUAUUUACAAAGACUUUGUUACCAUUUUUUCAUUUUCUCAUAUUAAUUCCAUUCCCUUCUUUCCUUUCCCCUACCCCUCCCACUUCCCCUUCCCCUUUGCCCCUUUUCUUCCUAUUUCACAUUAUCUAUUAUAACUUUAAGUCCUUAUUUACAUUUUCAGUUUCUCACACUACAGAAACUAUUCAGUAUUUACACAUGCAUGUCCUAUUUAUUUCAUUUAAGAGUGUUGCCUCAAUGUGCAUUAAGUUAGCUAUAAAUGUCUCUAAUUUCUCAUUCUUUAUGGCUGAGUAGUACUCCAUUUUAUUUUUUAAAAACCAUAUUCAUAGUAAGUUAUUUUGGCUAUUCUAGCUUCUUUGCAUUUCUAAGUAGCUUUUAGAAUCAGCUUGUCAGUUUGCACAAAAAGAUAAAAGGCUGCUGGGAUUUUUUAUUGAGAGAGGGAGGAUUAGACCUAUAAACCAAUUUGAAAACAAUAGCUAUCAUAGCAAUAGUGAAUCUUCCAUGCCAUGAGCAUAGCAUAUCUUUCCAUUUGUUUAGGUCUUCUUUAAUUUCGGCCACCAGUAUUUUAUAGUUUCCAGUGUACAGCUCUUGCACAUAUUUUGUUAAAAUUAUCCAUAAUGAUUCCACAUUUUGAUGCUAUUGUAAAUGGUAUUUUAAUUUCAAUUUCCAAUGAUUUGUUGUUAAAGUAUAGAAAUACAAAUGAAGUUUUUAUAUUGACCUUGUACCCUGACACCUUGUUAAAUUUACUCCUGCUAUCCUUUUUUGUAGCUCCUCUAGGAUUUUCUACAUAUACAAUAUAUCAUCUAUAAAUAAAGAUAAUUUGACUUUUUUCUUUUAAA
ensembl:lncRNA